rnacentral:rRNA from 1 species
CCUACGGGAGGCAGCAGUGGGGAAUAUUGGACAAUGGGGGCAACCCUGAUCCAGCGACGCCGCGUGAGUGAAGAAGUAUUUCGGUAUGUAAAGCUCUAUCAGCAGGGAAAUAAAUGACGGUACCUGACUAUGAAUCCCCGGCUAACUACGUGCCAGCAGCCGCGGUUAUACGUAGGGGGCAAGCGUUAUCCGGAUUUACUGGGUGUAAAGUGAGCGUAGACGGUGCAGCAAGUCUGAUGUGAAGGGUCGGGGCCCAACCCCGGGACUGCAUUGGAAACUGUUGAACUGGAGUACAGGAGAGGUAAGCGGAAUGCCUAGUGUAGCGGUGAAAUGCUUAGAUAUUAGGAGGAACUCCAGUGGCGAAGGCAGCUUACUAGACUGUAACUGACGUUGAGGCUCGAAAGCGUGGGGAGCAAACAGGAUUAGAUACCCGUGUAGUC